GAACUUAAGAGUUUGAUCCUGGCUCAGAUUGAAAGCUGGCGGUAUGCUUUACACCUGCAAGUCGAACGGGCUUGGGGGCUUGCUCCUGAGUUAGUGGCGAACGGGUGAGUAAUAUAUCGGAACAUAUCCGGAAGUGGGGGAUAACGUAGCGAAAGUUACGCUAAUACCGCAUACGAUCUAAGGAUGAAAGCGGGGGAUCGCAAGACCUCGCGCGAAUGGAGCGGCCGAUGUC
rnacentral:rRNA from 1 species